UGAUUUGUGUCUAUAGUUCACAAGGUCGGCC
rnacentral:piRNA from 1 species